rnacentral:rRNA from 1 species
UACGUAGGGUGCGAGCGUUGUCCGGAAUUACUGGGCGUAAAGAGCUCGUAGGUGGUUUGUCGCGUUGUUCGUGAAAACUCACGGCUUAACUGUGAGCGUGCGGGCGAUACGGGCAGACUGGAGUACUGCAGGGGGAGACUGGAAUUCCUGGUGUAGCGGUGGAAUGCGCAGAUAUCAGGAGGAACACCGGUGGCGAAGGCGGAUCUCUGGGCCGAUACUGACGCUGAGGAGCGAAAGCGUGGGGGAGCGAACAGG